ensembl:snRNA U6 U6 spliceosomal RNA
GUGCUCGCUUCGGCAACACAUGUACUAAAAUUGGAACGCUACAGAGAAGAUGAACAUGGCCCCUGUGCAAGGAUGACAUGCACAUUCGUGAAGCAUUCCAUAUUUUU